rnacentral:rRNA from 1 species
GACGAACGCUGGCGGCGUGCUUAACACAUGCAAGUCGAACGGAAAGGCCCUGCUUUUGUGGGGUGCUCGAGUGGCGAACGGGUGAGUAACACGUGAGUAACCUGCCCUUGACUUUGGGAUAACUUCAGGAAACUGGGGCUAAUAUCGGAUAGGAGCUCCUGCUGCAUGGUGGGGGUUGGAAAGUUUCGGCGGUUGGGGAUGGACUCGCGGCUUAUCAGCUUGUUGGUGGGGUAGUGGUUUACCAAGGUUUUGACGGGUAGCCGGCCUGAGAGGGUGACCGGCCACAUUGGGACUGAGAUACGGCGCAGACUCCUACGGGAGGCAACGGUGGGAAAUAUGGCGCAAUGGGCGGAAGCCUGAUGCAGCAGCGCCGCGUGCGGGAUGACGUCCUUCGGGUGGUAAACCGCUUUCGCCGGUGACGAAGCGUGAGUGACGGUAAUGGGUAAAGAAGCACCGGCUAACUACGUG